CACGUAGGGACCAAGCGUUGUCCGGAUUUAUUGGGCGUAAAGCGCUCGUAGGCGGUUCGGUAAGUCGGGUGUGAAACCCCUGGGCUCAACCCGGGGACGCCACCCGAUACUGCUGUGACUCGAGUUCGGUAGGGGAGCGGGGAAUUCCUGGUGUAGCGGUGAAAUUCGUAGAUAUCAGGGGAACACCAGUGGCGAAGGCGGCUUCCUGGACACCAACUGACGCUGAGACGCGAAAGCGUGGGGAGCAAACAGG
rnacentral:rRNA from 1 species